rnacentral:lncRNA from 1 species
CACCAGUUUCGUCGGUCGAUUCACACCCAACUCCAUCCCCGCUUCUUCCCUCGAGCCAGCGAUAGCUGUUCUAUUCCAUCCCCGUUUAAUUUUGAGUACUGGAGUCCAAGGCGAGCGCAACUAUGGCAGGGAAUGAGGUACAUUUUCCACUCCAUUCAGUAAACAAUUCUAUUUCUGUCACGCUCACUUUGCAGUUAGAUUAUUAUUUACAAUCUAAGUUUGAGUAGGUGCGUGGGAUGAAUCCAUCAAUUAUUGUAUUUGGCCUGCUCUCCCAAGCUGCUGCCUCGAGGUCGCCAUACUUCGCAAAAAUCAUGACGGUGCUGCGUUGUGCUCACCAUGCCCAGAAAUUGGGGGUCACGAGGAGGAAGACAAUGGCACGCACGAGGAAAUUAGAGACGGCGGUGGCACCAAACAUUACUUGAGCCUGAUCGUUUUUUUUUUGCUAGCUUAGCGUUUUGCUUUCAUAGGUUUGGAGCUCUAAAUUUAAGCUUUUCGUCUGAAUCUUCAUUUGAUCCACAGGCUUCUGAUCGUUCUGAACAAAUGCUUCAACUCUUUGUUGUUUCAUUUGAUUUUUGGAAGUUCAUUAGAUUUUGGUAAGUUGUUUGAUUUCCCUUAAUCGAUUUCUGAAUCUCCUCCCUUCUUUAGUGGAGCUCCCUGCAAGUGUUGUUUUAAUUCAUGGUUAAAUUCUAUUUUGGUGUUGGCUGUUGAGAAUAUCAGAUGAGACAAGCAAUGGAAUGGACUGUGUGGACAAUCACAGGAAUGGUGUUCCGUGGAUAGGUCAUGUGUUGGAGAGGGAACGACACGUUGCAGCAGCGAGAGGUCUUGCCUCUUUUCUGCUGUUCUUGCUUCUCCCCUAUGAUUUUUUAGUUGGUUGUCUUGGAGAGGAAACGACAAGCUGCAGCAGCCAGAGUAGUAGGAGAAGCAGCUUCAACUCCCACGGCAUGUUCUACAUUUUUCUGCACUGAUGUAUUUGUUAUGGUCCAACUGAAUUAGUUUUGACUGCAUCUUAUUCUCUGUAGUCUCUGAGAUUUGUUCUCUAGUUCAAACUGUGCGUCAACUGUUCAAAUGAAUGUCUUAAUUAAAAGAACACUGUUUGAUGGAAUGCCAGAAAAGAAUGCACGUCUUUUUCCUGGCUAAAAAUUCGUUCAGAGUGUUCUGUUUUUUCUAUCUGGUAAAUUUCAUUGGCCUCAGAGUUGAUUCCCUCUUUUAAUUCAUUUGGUGUGGUUUUCUAAAUGAAGAAGCAGAACCAUUUUGGUUGUUAUUCACUACUGCUCCUCAUGGUC